AAUAUUUCACAAUGGGCGCAAGCAUGCUGCACCAACGCCGCGUGCGCGACGAAGGCCUCCGUGUCGUAAAGCGCUUCUCUGGGAGAUGAGUACGGACAGUAUCCCCGGACGAAGGAUCGGCUAACUACGUGCCAGCACCCGCGGUAAAACGUAGGAUCCGAGCGUUAUCCGAAUUCACUGGGCGUAAAGCGCAUGCAGGCGGCGGCACAAGUUGGAUGUAAAAGCUCCAGGCUCAACUGGGAGGGGACGUUCAAAACUGUGCGGCUCGAGGGAGGUAGAGGAAGGUAGAAUUCCCGGUGUAGUGGUGAAAUGCGUAGAUAUCGGGAGGAAUACCCGUGGCGAAGGCGACCUUCUGGACCGUUUCUGACGCUCAGAUGCGAAAGCUAGGGGAGCGAACGGG
rnacentral:rRNA from 1 species